AUGGCUGGUAGAAAAGUCAAUAUCAAUAGUGGAGAUCUGAGCAGGGUGUGGCACGACCCUUGGAUAGAGAACACUGUCCUGAAAGAUCGAUUUCCUGAUCUUUUUAGCAUCUGCCACGAUCAAGAGAGUACUAUUAUAUCCUGGGUUAGAAAUAAUUAUACCCUUGGAUUAAGACGGAGAUUGAACGGUGUGUUGGGUGAACAAUGGGCUUGGGUGGUUGCGGAAGCUAGAAAAUUAUCAUUGAACAGUUCUUCAGAUACAAUUUCCUGGGCAUUUAGUAGUAAGGGGAAGUAUACGACUAAAUCUAUGUAUGAGUGGUUGGAAAGAAACUUAUCUGGUCCCAAUUAUAAAUGGGUGUGGAAAGCGGCCAUUCCAUUGAAGAUUAAAAUCUUCUUGUGGCAACUUUUACAGAAUGCUGUGCUGACACGGGAUAAUAUGCGCAGUAGGAAGUGGCCUGGGAACCCUGCUUGUUCUUUUUGUACCAAUAUAGAGACGGCUAAUCACUUGUUCUUUACUUGCCUACUUGCUCGUACCGCUUGGGGGGGGGGUUCUGGGUUUAACAGUUGGCACGUCUUGUUGCCCUCGGUCCCUGUGGCAAAGUUUUAUCUGGCUAUAUAA
rnacentral:rRNA from 1 species